GUGGGGAAUCUUAGACAAUGGGGGAAACCCUGAUCUAGCCAUGCCGCGUGAGCGAUGAAGGCCUUAGGGUUGUAAAGCUCUUUCAGCUGGGAAGAUAAUGACUGUACCAGCAGAAGAAGCCCCGGCUAACUCCGUGCCAGCAGCCGCGGUAAUACGGAGGGGGCUAGCGUUGUUCGGAAUUACUGGGCGUAAAGCGCACGUAGGCGGACCGGAAAGUCAGAGGUGAAAUCCCAGGGCUCAACCUUGGAACUGCCUUUGAAACUCCUGGUCUUGAGGUCGAUAGAGGUGAGUGGAAUUCCGAGUGUAGAGGUGAAAUUCGUAGAUAUUCGGAGGAACACCAGUGGCGAAGGCGACUGACUGGACAAGUAUUGACGCUGAGGUGCGAAAGCGUGGGGAGCAAACAGGAUUAGAUACCCGUGUAGUCC
rnacentral:rRNA from 1 species